rnacentral:rRNA from 1 species
UUCCAGCUCCAAUAGCGUAUAUUAAAGUUGUUGCAGUUAAAAAGCUCGUAGUUGAAUUUCGGGAUUGACACAUCGGUCGUGCCUUAAGGGGUGUGAACUGGUGUAGUCAAUUUCUCACCUUCUGGAGAACCGCGAUGUCCUUAAUUGGGUGCCGCGAGGAACCAGGACCUUUACUUUGAAAAAAUUAGAGUGUUUAAAGCAGGCAUUUUUGCUUGAAUACAUUAGCAUGGAAUAAUAAAAUAGGACGGCAUGAUUCUAUUUUGUUGGUUUCUAGGUUCACCGUAAUGAUUAAUAGGGAUAGUUGGGGGCAUUAGUAUUCAAUUGUUAGAGGUGAAAUUCUUGGAUUUAUUGAAGACUAACUACUGCGAAAGCAUUUGCCAAGGAUGUUUUCAUUAAUCAAGAACGAAAGUUAGGGGAUCGAAGACGAUCAGAUACCGUCGUAGUCUUAACCAUAAACUAUGCCGACUAGGGAUCGGAUGAUGUUAAUUU